rnacentral:lncRNA from 1 species
GCCUGUCUUACUAAACUCCUUCUCAUUUCCAUGAAAAUAUGAUGGAGGACAAGAUGCUGAGUGGUUUUGAUCUGGAACAAUGAAUAUCCUUUAUUCUAACCUGGGAAUUUAGCUCAGGAACAGGAACUUUAGGGCUGCAAUCAGGAUUCCAAAGGCAUUCAAGUGCACAGUUAGUUUCUGUUACUCAACACUGUUCCAUAUCAGUGUUUUAUUUUCUUUAUUUCAUCUUGGCUUUGUUUUGGUUUAUCCGAUUUAAUUUCUCCAAAAGAAAAUAAGCCCCAAACCUCCCAGUUAAUGCAUUGAGUUGACAUUAUCUUAUUGGAAAUGACAGUCUGACCACUCAAUAGCCCCAAGCCCUGGCAGAACCCUCAAAUCCUGGACAUCUCAGUGGGAGCAGGAAAAAGAACAUUUAAAAAAUAACUUCAUUUAAGAAAUGAAAUGAAGAAUUCUUUAAGAAGAGGUGAUCCCUUAAAAGUGGAGAGGAGCUCUCUUGUUUUAGUCCAACCAUCAGAAGAAAAGGGAUUAAAGCCACCACACAGCAUCAGAUCUGUCUCUGAUACAAACAUCCAUUUCAUGGGAGAUAGAGCCAAAGACUGGACUCCGAGCUUACAGGACAUUAAGGACAGAUUAGAAACUCUUAAGUGUGAUGUGGUGACUGAGCCUGGAGCUUCUCUUGGUCUUCAAACUACCAUGGUGCUACCAUAGCUGAGCUGACUGACCAAAGGAUGAAUUUUAGAGAACAUUGCUGGCUUGUCAUUCACAGAAAGGAGCUUUCACUUGGCAUUUAGGGUGCUUUUAAUAAAUUCUUCCCUAGGAAUAGUGUGUGCUCCA